CUGUCUGCGCCUGAUCUUGUCUGAUCUCGGAAGCUAAGCAG
rnacentral:rRNA from 1 species